rnacentral:rRNA from 1 species
GUGGGGAAUAUUGGGCAAUGGGGGAAACCCUGACCCAGCAACGCCGCGUGAAGGAAGAAGGUUUUUGGAUCGUAAACUUCUAUCCUUGGUGAAAAUAAUGAUGGUAGCCAAGAAGGAAGCCCCGGCUAACUACGUGCCAGCAGCCGCGGUAAUACGUAGGGGGCAAGCGUUGUCCGGAAUGAUUGGGCGUAAAGGGCGCGUAGGCGGCCUGGUAAGUCUGGAGUGAAAGUCCUGCUUUUAAGGUGGGAAUUGCUUUGGAUACUGUCGGGCUUGAGUGCAGGAGAGGUAAGCGGAAUUCCCGGUGUAGCGGUGAAAUGCGUAGAGAUCGGGAGGAACACCAGUGGCGAAGGCGGCUUACUGGACAGAGACUGACGCUGAGGCGCGAAAGCGUGGGGAGCGAACAGGAUUAGAAACCCCUGUAGUCC